rnacentral:rRNA from 1 species
GUGGGGAAUCUUGCGCAAUGGGCGAAAGCCUGACGCAGCCAUGCCGCGUGAAUGAUGAAGGUCUUAGGAUUGUAAAAUUCUUUCACCGGGGACGAUAAUGACGGUACCCGGAGAAGAAGCUCCGGCUAACUUCGUGCCAGCAGCCGCGGUAAUACGAAGGGGGCUAGCGUUGCUCGGAAUUACUGGGCGUAAAGGGCGCGUAGGCGGACAGCUUAGUCAGAGGUGAAAGCCCAGGGCUCAACCUUGGAAUUGCCUUUGAUACUGGCUGUCUUGAGUUUGGGAGAGGUGAGUGGAACUCCGAGUGUAGAGGUGAAAUUCGUAGAUAUUCGGAAGAACACCAGUGGCGAAGGCGACUCACUGGCCCAAUACUGACGCUGAGGCGCGAAAGCGUGGGGAGCAAACAGGAUUAGAUACCCGAGUGUCC